CUACUUAGAUGUGUCUAACUCGUCAGCAGAUGUAACUUCUACAUCACAAAGAAUACGCUGUUACAAGGACGAAACUGAAGAACCAGAUGUGCCCCCAGCUUUCAUAGACAUUUCUUGUAGGCACACAGCGAGAUACAUCAUUGUGGGGACUUCUUAUGACGCUCCAGAAGAUAAUCCAAUAAAAGGGUCUAUAUUAGAAAUAUGUGAAAUAGAAGUCUAUGGUUGCGGCAUAGGAAAAUUUGGAGAGCUUUGCAAAAAUUGUCAAUGUUCUACUUGCAGUAUCAUUAAUGGUUCAUGUCCUGUUGCAUGUAGUGAUAAUUGUCGAGAUACAACAUGUAAUCAAUUCUCUGGAUAUUGCACUUAUGGAUGCAAAGAACUUUAUUAUGGACCCAAA